rnacentral:rRNA from 1 species
AUGACUCCGGUUGCUCACAUUGGUAAUGCGCAGCUACAACAAGUGUCUGAUCUUAUCGACCCUGAAACUUGGCUCUGGAAAGAUCAGGUAAUCAGAGAGAACUUCAUACCAUCAGAUGCAGACGCCAUUCUGAACAUCCCCCUAAGGAUUGGCGGUGGUGAUGAUAUUUUGGCAUGGGCUUUGGAGAGAUCUGGUUCAUACACUGUCAAGUCAGCUUACCGCGUUCUCGUGACUCAGAACGAGCAUUUGGCUCUAGAGGAAGGGACGAUAGUCGAAACAUCAACGACAGAGAAACAAUUAUGGACCACAUUAUGGAAACUGAAGGUUCUGCCAAAAGUGAGAGUAUUU